rnacentral:tRNA from 1 species
UCCCUGGUGGUCUGGUGGUGAGGACUUAGUGUUUUCACUCCUGCAGCCUGGGUUCAAUCCCUGGUCUGGGAA